rnacentral:misc_RNA from 1 species
GAGAACCAAGAGAUCCGUUGUUGAAAGUUUUGACUAUUAAAAAUAAUCUCGUGACAAGUUUAUAAAAAAUUUGGUUGUAAGUUUAUGUCCUCUGGCGGCAGGCAGGGGCCCACCGCCAAAGCAAGUUUGUCCAGAACAAAACACAUGUGGUGCAAUUAAACAAAUCAAUAAUGAUCCUU